rnacentral:rRNA from 1 species
GAUGAACGCUGGCGGCGUGCUUAACACAUGCAAGUCGAACGGAAAGGCCCAAGCUUGAUUGGGUACUCGAGUGGCGAACGGGUGAGUAACACGUGGGUCAUCUGCCCUGCACUUCGGGACAAGCCUGGGAAACUGGGGCUAAUACCGGAUAGGACCACAUUGUGGAUGGUGUGGAGGAAUGUUUUGCGGUGAGGGAUGAACCCGCGGACUAUCAGUUAGUUGGUGGGGAAGUGGCCUACCAAGGCGUGGACGGGUAGCCGGCCUGAGAGGGUGCACGAGCAACAUGGGACUGAGAGGCGUCCCAGGCUGCAACCGGAUGCAUCAGUGGAGGAUAUUGCCCAAUAGCCGCAAGCCUGAUGCAGCGACGCAACGUGGGCGAUGACGGCGUUCGGGUUGGAGUCUGCAUACGCUAUGGAGGAGACGUUAUGUGACGGUAACUGGGGAAGAAGCACCGGCUAACUACGUG